rnacentral:rRNA from 1 species
UAGUCCACGCCGUAAACGAUGAUCACUAGAUGUUGGAACCCUUUGGGGAUUCAGUGUCGGAGCUAACGCGGUAAGUGAUCCGCCUGGGGAGUACGGUCGCAAGAUUAAAACUCAAAGGAAUUGACGGGGGUCCGCACAAGCGGUGGAACAUGUGGUUUAAUUCGACACUACGCGAGGAACCUUACCUGGAUUUGACAUAUACCUGCUCGCCCCAGAGAUGGGAUUUUACUAGUUUACUAGUACAGGUAUACAGGUGCUGCAUGGCUGUCGUCAGCUCGUGUCGUGAGAUGUUGGGUUAAGUCCUUUAACGAGCGCAACCCCUGCCGUUAGUUGCUAUUCUUCGGAAGCACUCUAGCGGGACUGCCUGGGAAACCAGGAGGAAGGUGGGGAUGACGUCAAGUCCUCAUGGCCCUUAUGUCCAGGGCUACACACGUGUUACAAUGGGAUGUACAAAGGGAAGCAAAGCAGCGAUGCCUAGCAAACCCCAAAAAGCAAUCUCUAAGUUCGGAUUGGAGUCUGCAA